rnacentral:lncRNA from 1 species
GACAUCAGAUGCAAGAGAAAUUGAAUCUUAAUCUUCUAGAUCUGAAAUCGUCUCUAAUUUCCUAAUCUCCCUUUCGUGAUUUUCUCGAACUCUAUUUCUCUCCACCGCCGACUGUUCUUUCUCGCCACCAUUGUUUCCCAGACAAUCUUCAACUGCGCCCUACAUUUCGGUGAGACUGCACUCUAGACACUUACAUAACACGACGCUUCAUCAUACAAACGCUCUUUCACUGACUCUUUUUAUUUUCUUUCUCAGGUCCCACUUCUGCCGGAGGAACAAGAAUCACUUGGAAGCCACUCCCCUAUCAUUAGCCAAUAUGCCACACAACACAAUCUCCACCCAGAUCAAAGCCUACAAGAUCACACUCGAAUUGUUGCCAACAUCGGCAUCCAUACACUGAGCCUUGACCACAACACUCCCGACACAACAACAAUCCCCCUAACCACGAGAGUCUCAUCCACAACACACCC